GUGCUAGCUUCAGCAGCACAUAUAUUAAAAUUGGAAGGAUACAGAAAUUAGUGUGGCCCCUGGGCAAGGACGACGCACAAAUCCCUGAAGCGUUCCAUACCUUU
rnacentral:snRNA from 1 species